rnacentral:rRNA from 1 species
GGAGGGUGCAAGCGUUAUCCGGAUUCACUGGGUUUAAAGGGUGCGUAGGCGGGCAUGUAAGUCAGUGGUGAAAUCUCAAAGCUUAACUUUGAAACUGCCAUUGAUACUAUGUGUCUUGAAUUUUCUGGAGGUUAGCGGAAUAUGUCAUGUAGCGGUGAAAUGCUUAGAUAUGACAUAGAACACCGAUUGCGAAGGCAGCUGACUACGGAUGAAUUGACGCUGAUGCACGAAAGCGUGGGGAUCAAACAGGAUUAGAUACCCUGGUAGUCCACGCCCUAAACGAUGAUUACUCGACAUACGCGAUACACAGUGUGUGUCUGAGCGAAAGCAUUAAGUAAUCCACCUGGGAAGUACGACCGCAAGGUUGAA